AAUUUUGGACAAUGGGGGAAACCCUGAUCCAGCCAUCCCGCGUGUGCGAUGAAGGCCUNCGGGUUNUNAAGCACUUUUGGCAGGGNCGAAACGGCUCGGGCUAAUACCUUGAGCUAAUGACGGUACCUGCAGAAUAAGCACCGGCUAACUACGUGCCAGCAGCCGCGGUAAUACGUAGGGUGCAAGCGUUAAUCGGAAUUACUGGGCGUAAAGCGUGCGCAGGCGGUUCGGAAAGAAAGGUGUGAAAUCCCAGGGCUUAACCUUGGAACUGCACUUUUAACUACCGGGCUAGAGUACGUCAGAGGGGGGUAGAAUUCCACGUGUAGCAGUGAAAUGCGUAGAGAUGUGGAGGAAUACCGAUGGCGAAGGCAGCCCCCUGGGAUGAUACUGACGCUCAUGCACGAAAGCGUGGGGAGCAAACAGG
rnacentral:rRNA from 1 species